rnacentral:rRNA from 1 species
CCUACGGGCGGCAGCAGUGAGGAAUAUUGGUCAAUGGGCGCGAGCCUGAACCAGCCAAGUCGCGUGAAGGAUGACUGCCCUAUGGGUUGUAAACCUCUUUUGUCAGGGAGCAAAGUGCGCCACGCGUGCCUUUCUGUGAGUACCUUAUGAAAAAGCAUCGGCUAACUCCGUGCCAGCAGCCGCGGUAAUACGGAGGAUCCGAGCGUUAUCCGGAUUUAUUGGGUUUAAAGGGUGCGUAGGAGGGUUGUUAAGUCAGUUGGGAAAUUUUGGGGGUCAACCGUAAAAUUGCAGUUGAGACUGUCAGUCUUGAGUACAGUUGAGGUAGGCGGAAUGCGUGGUGUAGCGGUGAAAUGCAUAGAUAUCACGAAGAACUCCGAUUGCGAAGGCAGCUUACGAAACUGCCACUGACAUUGAUGCACGAAAGUGUGGGUAUCAAACAGGAUUAGAUACCCGAGUAGUC